UGGGGAGUGGUGCAGUGGUAGCACGUCUGACUCUGGAUCAGAAUGUCGGGGGUUCGAAUCCUCCCUCCCCAGCCA
rnacentral:tRNA from 1 species